GAGUUUGAUCUUGGCUCAGAACGAACGCUGGCGGCGUGGAUAAGACAUGCAAGUCGAACGGGAGAAUUGCUAGCUUGCUAAUAAUUCUCUAGCGGCGCACGGGUGAGUAACACGUGAGUAACCUGCCCCCGAGAGCGGGAUAGCCCUGGGAAACUGGGAUUAAUACCGCAUAGUAUCGAAAGAUUAAAGCAGCAAUGCGCUUGGGGAUGGGCUCGCGGCCUAUUAGUUAGUUGGUGAGGUAACGGCUCACCAAGGCGAUGACGGGUAGCCGGUCUGAGAGGAUGUCCGGCCACACUGGAACUGAGACACGGUCCAGACACCUACGGGUGGCAGCAGUCGAGAAUCAUUCACAAUGGGGGAAACCCUGAUGGUGCGACGCCGCGUGGGGGAAUGAAGGUCUUCGGAUUGUAAACCCCUGUCAUGUGGGAGCAAAAUUAAAAAGAUAGUACCACAAGAGGAAGAGACGGCUAACUCUGUGCCAGCCGCCGCAGUAAC
rnacentral:rRNA from 1 species